GGCAGUUCGACGUGAACUCGCGAGCGGCCAACACGUAAGCGGCGCGUUGUGCAGCUGGUUAAAAAACACGGCAGCGAAAUAACAAGAAAAAAAAAAAAACAAAAACCAACAACAACAUCAACAGCAAUAGCAACAGCAACCAACUCGAUAAUAGGCAGCGGCGCAACUGAAGUGUGAAUUCAUAUUGAGGUUAUGUAACGACAUAUAGCCGUAGUAAAAAACAGGCGAAAACAAAACGCACUAGCUGUAGUGUAGCUGCAUUAGUCAGGUCACACGCUCACCUGCAAAAACUCAGAUAACUUACAGCACGCGCCUCGUUUCGGGCUCAUUACGCAUUCGCAAUGGAGGACGCAAAAGCUGCAGCGCAGGCGCAAAGUCAUCCUCUGGAGGAUGUGUCCCUCAAUGGAAACGAUGACGACAAGCAGACGCCCAAAAAUUGGGUUAAAUUCGACGACGAAGCCGACAGCGGUGAAAAAAACAAUAACAGUAACAGUAACGACGGCGAUGCCACACAGCAGCAGCAGCAGCAGCAGCAACAACAAAACACGUUAACUCUGCCGCCACCGCCGUCGGUGGUUAGCAGCAACAACAACAGGCGGGCGCGCUCGCGCAGUCCGUCCGCUACAGUGACAACAACAACAACAACAACCACACCUGUCCAGCGUCCGGCAGUUUCCUCAACCACAGCUGCGACACCCGGCGAAGUGCUCAGUGGGGCUCAGGCCCCUCCGCCGGAUGUGGCGCCCGCUGUUUUGACAACCGAGAGCACGCACGUUAAUCUGAGUGCAUCCGGCAGUGGCAUCGUCAGCGGAGCAAGUGCGAAUGCAAGUGCCAGUGGAUACGCACCUGGCCCGGUCCGCCAUACCCCGCAGCUAACAAACCAAAAAGCCGCCGCCGCUGCCCCCCAUCCAUCGUCCGCCGUGGCGGCAUCCUCCAGCCAUCAGCAUAAUGGAGGUGGCGCCAACGGAACUGGAAUUAGCCAGCCGGCGGACCAGGGAUCCGGGAUGCGCACAAUCGAACUGUCAACGGGUCGCAUUCGCGAGGGAUUCGCAAAUGGCGAUGUCAUUGUCACACUUCUGCCGGCCAACACGAAGUGGCCGUGGAUAACCCCUGCCAUAUUCCGUCCGGAGCUGGUGCCCGAGGAGCUGAUGGCUCAAGGCCUGACGCUCACUGUGGAGGACUACGUGAACGCGAUGGAGACGCUGGUGAACGAUUACCGCUUCACCGUCUACAACAUCUGCUACAAGCGCAUCCUGGUCUGCUGGAUCCUGUUCGCCUUUACGGUUCUGUUGGCCCUGCUCUUCUCCGGACUGCAGGGCGUGGCCCUGUUCGCCCUGGGCGUGGGAUGGCUCUUCCUCAACGCGGCGGCCAUCUUCCUGUGCAUGUGGGUGAAGCUGCGCCUGUCGCGCGGCCUUGAAAAGUGCCUGGCCCGCGUGAACCGGCAGCUGAUGCGCCACAAGAUCCUGCUGGUGCUGGACGACCGCGGUCGUAUCUCGUGCCACAAGGUCAACCUGUGCUUCAUGUACUUCGAUGCAACGCAGUGCGUAAAUUUCCUCAACGAGUUCCUCGAGCACACGGAGCAAACUGGUGGCGAUGCCAUCAAGGCGGGCUGGGAGGCGAAGCUGGACAUUGACCUCGAAGACAUCGUUAUCCAGGGCAGUCAGCCGGUGCGAGUGCCACGCAAGCAGGAGCGUGGCCUGCAGCUGUUCCUGCGCUACGGAUCCCGAUGGGGCAUGGAGGCCCUGAGGGGCCUGGUGGACGUGACCCCCUUGGAGCCGGGACGCCACUGCGGACAGUUCCAGUGCCCCUGCCAGUACAUCAAAGAGCACCUGCAGUGCAAACCGCGAGGUGCGAGGCGAUUGUAUCUCUGCUAACUGCAGAUUCUCAGAAUUCCCUCGAUUGCGGACUGUUUGUUUUUUUUGCAUGGUGCCAUCAAAAGUGCCAUGGUUAGAGGAGGGGGCGCCCAAUCCGGUGGGCGUGGCAAGCGCUGAUGGCCCGCACUUUGAGCGCUUUCCACGGAGGAAUGCGAU
rnacentral:misc_RNA from 1 species